rnacentral:rRNA from 1 species
UGUCAGCAGCCGCGGUAAUACGUAGGGUGCGAGCGUUAAUCGGAAUUACUGGGCGUAAAGCGUGCGCAGGCGGUUAUACAAGACAGGCGUGAAAUCCCCGGGCUUAACCUGGGAAUGGCGCCUGUGACUGUAUAGCUAGAGUGUGUCAGAGGGGGGUAGAAUUCCACGUGUAGCAGUGAAAUGCGUAGAUAUGUGGAGGAAUACCAAUGGCGAAGGCAGCCCCCUGGGAUAACACUGACGCUCAUGCACGAAAGCGUGGGGAGCAAACAGGAUUAGAUACCCUGGUAGUCCACGCCCUAAACGAUGCUGACUAGUUGUUCGGGAUUUACAUCCUGAGUAACGUAGCUAACGCGUGAAGUCAGCCGCCUGGGGAGUACGGUCGCAAGAUUAAAACUCAAAUAAAUUGACGG